rnacentral:rRNA from 1 species
GACAGCAGCCGCCACGGGAAUACAGAGGGUGCGAGCGUUAAUCGGAUUUACUGGGCGUAAAGCGUGCGUAGGCGGCUUCUUAAGUCGGAUGUGAAAUCCCUGAGCUUAACUUAGGAAUUGCAUUCGAUACUGGGAAGCUAGAGUAUGGGAGAGGAUGGUAGAAUUCCAGGUGUAGCGGUGAAAUGCGUAGAGAUCUGGAGGAAUACCGAUGGCGAAGGCAGCCAUCUGGCCUAAUACUGACGCUGAGGUACGAAAGCAUGGGGAGCAAACAGGAUUAGAUACCCCGGUAGUCCCUGUCUCUUAUAA